AACUAGGAAGGGGAAAAGUUUAAUUGAGAUGUGUGUGGCAUGUUUUCUACACAGAGAGUGGUGGGGACCUGGAACACAUUGCCAGGGGUGGGGGGUGGAGGCAGAUA